rnacentral:rRNA from 1 species
AUUGAACGCUGGCGGCAGGCCUAACACAUGCAAGUCGAGCGGAUGAAGGGAGCUUGCUCCUGGAUUCAGCGGCGGACGGGUGAGUAAUGCCUAGGAAUCUGCCUGGUAGUGGGGGAUAACGUCCGGAAACGGGCGCUAAUACCGCAUACGUCCUGAGGGAGAAAGUGGGGGAUCUUCGGACCUCACGCUAUCAGAUGAGCCUAGGUCGGAUUAGCUAGUUGGUGGGGUAAAGGCCUACCAAGGCGACGAUCCGUAACUGGUCUGAGAGGAUGAUCAGUCACACUGGAACUGAGACACGGUCCAGACUCCCACGGGAGGCAGCAGUGGGGAAUAUUGGACAAUGGGCGAAAGCCUGAUCCAGCCAUGCCGCGUGUGUGAAGAAGGUCUUCGGAUUGUAAAGCACUUUAAGUUGGGAGGGAGGGCAGUAAGUUAAUACCUUGCUGUUUUGACGUUACCAACAGAAUAAGCACCGGCUAACUUCGUG